UUCCCCAGACCCCACCUGGUGGGUAGUAGUAGUUGUUGUUGUUGUUGUUGUUUCAAACAUGGAACGGGGGUGUUAAAAGUUAAAACAUAUUUCAAACAUGACACUGGGGUGUUAAAUCAGCUUUUUAUCUUCCUAGCAGGCGGGUUUUUCUCUUUCGUGGCAUUGCAUUUUUUCAUCCUAUCCAUUGUUCUAUCCCUAUCACCUGGU
rnacentral:lncRNA from 1 species